AGUGACGGGGCGAAACAAGCCCUUCUACAGGCUGCCCACCUCUGCGGAAGGCCAGCCGGAUUGUGGAAGACGGGAAUCAACGGGCCAGGCCCGGAUCCAUGAUAAAUAUUUUCAAGAAGUGGGACCCAAGAUUCGAAUUCGGAUCCUCCAAAGUGGAAAGCCGAAGCGUUUCCAGGCGGCCAAUCCGGCCGACUAUAUUUUAAAGUAAAGCGCGAAUCACUGGUACAUCCAUUUGCUGAAUUUUUCUUAAUUUUUUUUUUUUGUUUGCAUGGUGUUUGCCAGUUAUUAUAAAAGUUCCGGCAUACGACAUUUGCAUCAGAGUUAGCUGGUUUGCCAGUUGAAAUAUUUGUAUCUGCAUCUGGAAGAUCCGAGUUUGAAUGCUGCCUCCAUCUGCCACUCCUUAUUAUUAAGCUGUUGACAAACUCCAUUCCAAAUAUAACGGCUUAUAGAGGCCUAUGGAAUAGCCUUUCCACUUGAUAACUUAUCUGAUAAAGAUUGCUAAUGAUAAAAACACUACAAAAAAUAUUUGUAUUCGAUUCCGCAAAUUUUGAAAUCUGUCGUCAAAUCUGUAUGGUAAAGCAGUGGAUUAUCACUUUGGAAGAUCUAAGAUUCCAAUUCCAGAUUUCAUAUCUCUAAUUUUUCAGAAGUGAUCUAGACCUAGCCCUUUAAAUCCUCUCUUUCAUCUUUCCGAUUAACCCCACAAAGAAUAUUGGCCAGCCUGUGUUAGAUUCUAAAAGUGGUCACCGCCAUAUAAAGUUUUUAGUUAACUCAUCAUGUGUGAUAUGGCGGAUUAAACUAAAAACUGAAUUGAAUUCUGUUUUAAAAUGUCAAUGUUAUUGUAUAAAAUUGAAAAUCUAUAUGUAUUAUCAUUCUACAUUAUUUCUUAGUUUAACUUCACUUUCCAUCUUUAUCAGAUAUAUAAACGAUGGGAAGUUCCAGAACUGCUUACAUCAGAGAUGAGGAAUGGAAUCAAUGGGCCGUGUCUGAUCCUCCUAAAGAAUCUAGAAAUCGAUUGUGGAUCUUCCAAAUGGAAGGACCUUACUGUCUCGCCAGACGAUUGAUGUUACUAAUCGAGAAGUUUUUAUUUAUCGAUAAUACGAUUAUCCUCCAUAGGAUUUAUGUGAACAGUUAUCUUCAUGAAAAAAGGACUAUAUUUAGAAUUUUCUAAUCGAUUUUUCAAAACGAAUAAAAUAUAUCUAUAUGCUGGACUGACCCUCAAAAAACUACCGAC
rnacentral:lncRNA from 1 species